AGGGGUAUAGCUCAGUUGGUAGAGCAACGGUCUCCAAAACCGUGUGCCUGAGGUUCGAGCCCUCAUACCCCUGCCA
rnacentral:tRNA from 2 species